rnacentral:rRNA from 1 species
GCCUCCUCGUUUACUGUGAAAAAAUUAGAGUGUUCAAGGCAGGCGGCUUCUCGCACAUGAAUACAUUAGCAUGGAAUAAUAAGAUACGACAUCUGGUCUAUUUUGUUGGUUUGCGACUGGGUGUAAUGAUAAACAGGAACAGUUGGGGGUAUUCGUAUUCGGUUGUCAGAGGUGAAAUUCUUGGAUUUACUGAAGACGAACUACUGCGAAAGCAUUUACCAAGGAUGUUUUCAUUAAUCAAGAACGAAAGUUUGGGGAUCGAAGAUGAUUAGAUACCAUCGUAGUCUAAACCAUAAACAA